UGUGGCGUUUGUAAAGCAUAUUGAUCAGAUGCUACAGCGCCACCUGCUGUUCCGUAACACCCUAGAAGAACGACCGACCACCGAUGAGAGAAGCUGUGCUGCUGGGGAUGCUUUCCUCAACCUCACUGGACACAAUAAUGUAAUGCCAUUGACUACUAAAAUAAUCAUAUGUAGUCCAGUUUAAAACUGAUCAACAGUGACAGUAAAGACCUUUACAUUGUUACAAAAAAACAAAAACAAAAAAAACUAAUAUUAUAGAAUGCUGUUUUGAACUUUCUAUGCAUCAAGCAAUUCUAAAUUAAUAUCACAUUUUCCACAAGUGUUUUCAAGAUUAAUAAUAAUAAUGAAUGUUUCUUCAGCAGCAAAUCAACACAUUAGCAUGAUUUCUGAAUGGAGUAGCUUUGCAUCACAGAAAUGUGUUAGAACAGAAAAUGGUUAUUUUAAAUUGUAAUCAUAUUUUACAAUAUUACUGUUUUUUAUCAUUUCAUUGUUUGUCUUUGUGCAGAAGUCUUUCUCUGAUGCAUAUCUUGGAUACGUGGCCAGUCUGGGAACUGUCCUGAGAACAGAGAUCAGUUCAACUUCACCCCACAGCAACCCACAGGCAAAAUAUUAUGAAAGAUGCUUAAGUAUAAAGUGGUGCCUGUUUUGUGUUUAACUUUGCAGUAGUGAAAGGACAACAAAUUAAUCUACAGCAACCAGGCCCAAUUAUAUAUAUAUAUAUAUAUAUUUUAUAAGUGCAAGUCUAUUGAUUUUUUUACUUUUGCAUAAUAUUGGUUUCAUGUGUUCAUUUAUGUUUUCCUGCUAGGAGGAGAAAGAGAGCUUCAGAUUGCUUUCCUUACUAUUUGCUCCUGUUUCCCGCAUCCACAAAUACCUGAACAUCAUACAGGCUCUGUUAUGCAGUUCUGGCACUGGACAUGCAGACUGGUGUUCACUGCAGGAGAGUGAGCGGGUGCUGUGGGACCUCUGCACAAGCUGUCACAUGACUUUAGCAAAGACGGGGCCGUGCGAAGAAAGGGAGGGGCCUGAACAAGGUUUUAGAAGCAGGUGCUGUGCCGAGAGCCCCGACUGUGGCCCUUCCGCUUUUACCAAGUACUGUGCCAACACCGAUGCAGAUACAGCCAGUGUCACAGCGGGAGCAGGCAUAGACAGCACUGUACACCAGAGGAAAUGCUGUCGUGUUGGCAUCUCACAGACACUACCUCGGCCCAGUGGCAUUUUAAGAAAUGGCCGUGAGCAUAUGUGUGAUCUGACCCCUGGUGGCUGGACUGCAGAGUACAUGUGGAAUGGCAGCAUAGGGCAGAGCCACACAGGUCCCAUCUGUGUACCCUUCGCUCGUCAUCCUAGAGAAGGAGGGCGCUUUCUGAAUCCUGUGCCACCUGUAGGUGUCGGGGGAAACCUCACCACUGCUGCCAAGAGUCAGUGCUCUUCGGCUGGUCUGGCCGUGCGUGUGUGUGGGUCUCCAGGCCUCGACGGACGCAUAUACACAUCUGACCUGUACCCUCCGUCACAACGUAUCGAUGACGGCGACACAGACUGCGAUGUGGCUGAUGCAUCCAUUUUUGACUUCUCUUCUGUAACGACCUGUAGCCCAGAUGAAACUCUGAAUCGACUCAGGGGAGAGGAAGCACGUGAUGAGGAGGAUAAUGAUGAAGAGAACAGUGAGGUUCCAGUUCUCCUCAAACCUUCAUACACUCACAAUUCUUCAGCUGUGCAGACAGGGGGAAGCUUAUGCUUGCAGUGGCAGAUUCCUAGACGGGCUCCUAUUCCUUCUGAGGUUUGCAUUGGGGCUCAAGGAAAAACGCAUGCCCCAAAAGCACACAGAAUCCUUGCCAGUGCCUUCCGGCCGAUUUGGGACCCGACUUAUUCACAGGGUGAUGUGACUCCUGCAAAAGAGAACUCUGUAUCUUUCAGCUCAACCAAUCAGAUCAUUAAUCAGCAGCAAGAGACUGACCAAUCACGAUCUGCAUAUAGAGGGACUGGAGUCCAGCGGGCUGCAGCAGUGUGGCAUGACAGUGAGGACAGUGAAGGACCCUGCAGUACAGUCUGA
rnacentral:lncRNA from 1 species